GGAUAUGGUGUUCAAGCCGGCCCAACCAAUGGACAACAAAUGAAAGGCAACGGCUACGGAGCACAAGCUGGCGGAUAUGGCGGACAAGGAACUAAAGGCAAUGGUUAUGGCGCUGCUGCUGCUGCACAUAAAGGACUUGGAACAAAAGGCAACGGAGGAAAUCCGGCAGUUUUACCUAAUGGAAACGGAGGUACAUCGAAUG